UACGAAGGGGGCUAGCGUUGUUCGGAAUUACUGGGCGUAAAGCGCGCGCAGGCGGUCUUCCAAGUCAGUGGUGAAAGCCCGGAGCUCAACUCCGGAACUGCCAUUGAAACUGUGAGACUUGAGGACGAGAGAGGUGAGUGGAAUUCCCAGUGUAGAGGUGAAAUUCGUAGAUAUUGGGAAGAACACCGGUGGCGAAGGCGGCGAGCUGGGCCAUGACUGACGCUGAGGAGCGAAAGUGUGGGGAGCGAACAGG
rnacentral:rRNA from 1 species